rnacentral:rRNA from 1 species
AGAGGAAGGGGGGGACGACGUCAAGUCAUCAUGGCCCUUACGUCCAGGGCGACACACGUGCUACAAUGGUAGGGACAGAGGGCAGCUACGUCGCGAGGCGAUGCGAAUCUCUCAAACCCUAUCCCAGUUCGGAUUGGAGUCUGCAACCCGACUCCAUGAAGGUGGAAUCGCUAGUAAUCGCGCAUCAGCCAUGGCGCGGUGAAUACGUUCCCGGACCUUGUACACACCGCCCGUCAAGCCAUGGGAGCUUGGGGUGCCUGAAGACGGUGACUUUACGGGGAGCUGUCUAAGGUAAAACAGGUGACUGGGGCUAAGUCGUAACAAGGUAGCCGUACCGGAAGGUGCGGCUGGAAUACCUCCUUU